rnacentral:rRNA from 1 species
CCCUUAGAUGUUCUGGGCUGCACACGUGCUACACUGGCAGGUUCAGCGAGCUUCAUGCCCUGAUCUGAAAGGAAUGGGAAAUCUUUUCAAAACCUGCCGUGCUUGGGAUAGAUGUUUGCAAUUAUUCAUCUUCAACGAGGAUUGCCUUGUAAGCGCACGUCAUCAGCGAGCAUUGAAUACGACCCUGUAUUCUGUACACACCGCCCGUCGCUCCUACCGAUUGAAGUUUUCGGUGAGUUGACAGGAGGAUUUUUUUGAAACUGGUUCGCCAGUGGAUUUUAGAUCCAAAUGCCAACGAAUCGAUGGCUUUAGAGGAAGGAGAAGUCGUAACA